rnacentral:lncRNA from 1 species
CUGAGACUGAGGUUUUUUGGGCCAGGAGUAAAAGGACUUGGUUUGUACUUGAUUGCAUCCUGUGGAUGCUUGCCUACCAACUGACUCAUCCCGACGUGCCAAAGGUCCUGGCUUUCCCCUGUGUGGGUAAGGGGAGAAGAGAGUUCUAAUGAGCGUGGCUGGCAUCGCUUCAUGAUUACAUUCUGGGAAAGAUCUUGCCUGUUAACCGCUAGAGAAGGAGGGACGAUGCAGACAAUGAAGACUAUAGCAGACUGAAUUACCCUCUGAGAUGAGGACUUUGCUAUUGCCAUUGCAGAACCACUGGUGGAAGUUGUUGUUAAACAGUGGGUCUUGCAUGCAAGCUCUACAGUUAUGCACAGUAUUUCCAUGACAUCCCAAGCCAUGAGGUCCAUGCUGCCAUAUCCCCCUGUUUAACAAGUGUGGAAACUGAUAAUGGACUCACAAUUGCUGAUGUAUAGGUUCUAAUGUUUUCUAUUGUGGACACGGGACACCCAGACUGAGGUUCGUGGAUUUUUGAAAUUUCUAAUAAUAAGAUAUUUGUGACUUAAUUUUGAGUGGAUGAACUUGAUUUGUUGUGGUUAUAUUGUUCAGUUAGUAUGUUAGUAAAUAUAUAAAUAAAUGUAAAAGGG